rnacentral:misc_RNA from 1 species
GUGAAUCAUCGAAUCUUUGAACGCAAAUUGCACUCUCUUCGGAGAGUAUGCCUGUUUGAGGGUCAGUAUUAAUAAAAAUCGGUGUGUUGCUUCUUUGUGACGCUCCGGAGUUUGGGUCAUCUUAAUAUCCUUUAGGUUUUAAGAGGCUUAAAAUUGACUUUUUUUCCGAUUUUUGGAUGAACAUAAUUUUUUUUUUUUAUCCUUCUGUUUUAUUGUUCAAAUUCUUAUAAAUU